UACGUAGGGUGCAAGCGUUAAUCGGAAUUACUGGGCGUAAAGCGUGCGCAGGCGGUUCUAUAAGACAGAUGUGAAAUCCCCGGGCUCAACCUGGGAACUGCAUUUGUGACUGUAGAGCUCGAGUUUGGUAGAGGCAGAUGGAAUUCCGGGUGUAGCGGUGGAAUGCGUAGAGAUCCGGAAGAACACCGGUGGCGAAGGCGGUCUGCUGGGCCAAGACUGACGCUGAGGCGCGACAGCGUGGGGAGCAAACAGG
rnacentral:rRNA from 1 species